rnacentral:rRNA from 1 species
AUGAGUGGCGUGUGGGUGUUUGAGGGCGGGAUGGUGAGGCGGGCGGACAGCGAGGCGCCGGGCGCGGGCGGGGCGGCGCGGCCGGGCAAGGUGCUGGUGCAUGUGCCGAGCGGCGAGGUGGUGACCUCGUACGAGGGUCUGGAGCGGCGGCUGCGGGAGCUGGGGUGGGAGCGCUACCUCAACGACCCCUGCCUCCUCCAGUUCCACCAGCGCUCCACCGUGCACCUCAUCUCCGUCCCGCGCGACUUCACCCGCCUCAAGCUCGUCCACAUGCACGACGUCGUCGUCAAGACCCGCAACGUCUUCCAGGUCCGCGACGCCUGA